rnacentral:rRNA from 1 species
CAGCAGCCGCGGUAAUACGUAGGGUGCGAGCGUUAAUCGGAAUUACUGGGCGUAAAGCGUGCGCAGGCGGUUUUGUAAGACAGGCGUGAAAUCCCCGGGCUCAACCUGGGAAUGGCGCUUGUGACUGCAAAGCUAGAGUGCGGCAGAGGGGGAUGGAAUUCCGCGUGUAGCAGUGAAAUGCGUAGAUCUCGAGAGGAACACCAAUGGCGAAGGCAGCUUCUUGGUCCAUUCCUGACGUUCAUACACGAAAGCGUGGGGAGCAAACAGGAUUAGAUACCCCUGUAGUCCCUGUCUCUUAUAA